rnacentral:rRNA from 1 species
AAGUCGAGCGAAUGGAUUAAGAGCUUGCUCUUAUGAAGUUAGCGGCGGACGGGUGAGUAACACGUGGGUAACCUGCCCAUAAGACUGGGAUAACUCCGGGAAACCGGGGCUAAUACCGGAUAACAUUUUGAACCGCAUGGUUCGAAAUUGAAAGGCGGCUUCGGCUGUCACUUAUGGAUGGACCCGCGUCGCAUUAGCUAGUUGGUGAGGUAACGGCUCACCAAGGCAACGAUGCGUAGCCGACCUGAGAGGGUGAUCGGCCACACUGGGACUGAGACACGGCCCAGACUCCUACGGGAGGCAGCAGUAGGGAAUCUUCCGCAAUGGACGAAAGUCUGACGGAGCAACGCCGCGUGAGUGAUGAAGGCUUUCGGGUCGUAAAACUCUGUUGUUAGGGAAGAACAAGUGCUAGUUGAAUAAGCUGGCACCUUGACGGUACCUAACCAGAAAGCCACGGCUAACUACGUGCCAGCAGCCGCGGUAAUACGUAGGUGGCAAGCGUUAUCCGGAAUUAUUGGGCGUAAAGCGCGCGCAGGUGGUUUCUUAAGUCUGAUGUGAAAGCCCACGGCUCAACCGUGGAGGGUCAUUGGAAACUGGGAGACUUGAGUGCAGAAGAGGAAAGUGGAAUUCCAUGUGUAG